AGCGCGGAUGGUGAGUAACACGUGGGAACCUGCCCAAGUCUGGGAUACCACUUGGAAACAGGUGCUAAUACCGGAUAAUAAAGCAGAUCGCAUGAUCAGCUUAUAAAGGACGGCGUAAGCUGUCGCUAUGGGAUGGCCCGCGGUGCAUUAGCUAGUUGGUAAGGUAACGGCUUACCAAGGCAAUGAUGCAUAGCCGAGUUGAGAGACUGAACGGCCACAUUGGGACUGAGACACGGCCCAAACUCC
rnacentral:rRNA from 1 species